CCUACGGGAGGCAGCAGUAGGGAAUCUUCGGCAGAUGACGCAACUCUGACCGAGCAACGCCGCGUGAGUGAAGACGGUUUUCGGAUCGUAAAGCUCUGUUGUAGGGGAAGAACGUGUGUAAGAGUGGAAAGCUUUCACAGUGACGGUACCCUACCAGAAAGGGACGGCUAACUACGUGCCAGCAGCCGCGGAAAUACGUAGGUCCCGAGCGUUGUCCGGAUUUAUUGGGCGUAAAGGGAGCGCAGGCGGUUUAGUAAGUCUGAAGUUAAAGGCAUUGGCUCAACCAAUGUAUGCUUUGGAAACUGUUAGAGUUGAGUGCAGAAGGGCGAAGUGGAAUUCCAUGUGUAGCGGUGAAAUGCGUAGAUAUAUGGAGGAACACCGGUGGCGAAAGCGGCUCUCUGGUCUGUCACUGACGCUGAGGCUCGAAAGCGUGGGUAGCGAACAGGAUUAGAUACCCUGGUAGUCCACGCCGUAAACGCUGAGUGCUAGGUGUUAGGUCCUUUCCGGGACUUAGUGCCGACGCUAACGCAUUAAGCACUCCGCCUGGGGAGUACGACCGCAAGGUUGAAACUCAAAGGAAUUGACGG
rnacentral:rRNA from 1 species